CCAAAGUGCUGGGAUCGCAGGCGUGAGCCGCCGCGCCCGGCCUUGGCCAUUGUUCUUUCAGGCAGUAUUUUAGCUGUCCUUCGGCGCAGUUGAAGAUUCUGUAACUGGGCGUUUGCCAUUCAAAAUAGGUAGAGUUGCACAUUCAAGAGGGAAACAGUCCUGAGGCAUUCUCACAGAUAAAGGUCCUCGUGGUUCAACAAGAAUGAUAUCCAGAUUGUGCUUCAGAAGUGCUUUGGGUCCACCACCUACUGCAUUUGUGUCACAAUCCCAUUUUCUGCUAAAUAGGGUCUCAGAAUUUUACCCAUUGUGAGUAUUCAAGACAAACUAAAUAAAUGAUCUCAAAAGCAUUUGCACCAAUAUCGGCUUUUCAUUUAGGGCUUAACCAUUAGAAUAGAAAGUCAAAUAAGUGCUGGUUAUCCAGGGACUCCAAAGGCUGAGGAAGAAGGAUCACUUGAGCCCAGGGUUUAGAGGC